UACGUAGGGUGCGAGCGUUGUCCGGAAUUACUGGGCGUAAAGAGCUCGUAGGUGGUUUGUCGCGUUGUUCGUGAAAACUCACAGCUCAACUGUGGGCGUGCGGGCGAUACGGGCAGACUGGAGUACUGCAGGGGAGACUGGAAUUCCUGGUGUAGCGGUGGAAUGCGCAGAUAUCAGGAGGAACACCGGUGGCGAAGGCGGGUCUCUGGGCCGAUACUGACGCUGGAGGAGCGAAA
rnacentral:rRNA from 1 species